UCAAGUCUUCUUUUCUCUUUUGGAGUGCU
rnacentral:sRNA from 1 species